UACGUAGGUGGCGAGCGUUGUCCGGAUUUACUGGGCGUAAAGGGCGCGUAGGCGGCUUGUCAAGUCACUUGUGAAAUCUCUGGGCUUAACCCAGAACGGCCAAGUGAAACUGACAUGCUAGAGUGCAGAAGGGGCAAUCGGAAUUCUUGGUGUAGCGGUGAAAUGCGUAGAUAUCAAGAGGAACACCUGAGGUGAAGACGGGUUGCUGGGCUGACACUGACGCUGAGGCGCGAAAGCCAGGGGAGCAAACGGG
rnacentral:rRNA from 1 species